rnacentral:rRNA from 1 species
GACGAACGCUGGCGGCGUGCUUAACACAUGCAAGUCGAACGGAAAGGCCCUGCUUUUGUGGGGUGCUCGAGUGGCGAACGGGUGAGUAACACGUGAGUAACCUGCCCUUGACUUUGGGAUAACUUCAGGAAACUGGGGCUAAUACCGGAUAGGAGCUCCUGCUGCAUGGUGGGGGUUGGAAAGUUUCGGCGGUUGGGGAUGGACUCGCGGCUUAUCAGCUUGUUGGUGGGGUAGUGGCUUACCAAGGCUUUGACGGGUAGCCGGCCUGAGAGGGUGACCGGCCACAUUGGGACUGAGAUACGGCCCAGACUCCUACGGGAGGCAGCAGUGGGGAAUAUUGCACAAUGGGCGGAAGCCUGAUGCAGCAACGCCGCGUGCGGGAUGACGGCCUUCGGGUUGUAAACCGCUUUCGCCUGUGACGAAGCGUGAGUGACGGUAAUGGGUAAAGAAGCAUCGGCUAACUAUGUG